AUACCCGCCCACUCUAACGCCCACAAACCGCCCAAAGCUGUCACGCCCACAUUUAUACUAAUAACAUAUACUAAGAAUUGAUAACUCUACAACAUAUAACAGGUUUUAGAGACGGAGUGAGCCGGACUCACUUUGUAGCUUUAUUUAAAAAUUAGAAUACACUACAAAAGUUGUGUUUUAUUAGGGUUAGAACUUACUGAAGAUUAUUGGGACACAGUUAAUUUUAACAUUCGAAGAUCACAAACACAUAUUAAAAACCACAAGGAUUCGACUGCAUGUUAUAAGUAACACUUUUAUAAUUGUUUAAGCCCUUUUUGUCACUUCAAACUUGUAAGAUUUUUCAGCGAUUAACAAAAAUUCGGUUAUCGGUGUGCCAGCGCAAACAAAACAGCUGACUAAACAGCUGCUCACUGAACAGUGGCGCCCUCUUUAAAAAUUUCAAGUACGUAACAUGAUAGAUUGAUGUUUUCUGAAUACAUGUCAAUUUAAAAAAAAUUUGUUUAACAACUUUUAAAAAAUGUGUUUUUUCCACAUAAGGUGGUCGUUCGCCCCAUAGUGCACUGAUAACAAAAUUGAAUCUAGCCAUUUCGUAUGCGUGGCAAAACGCUUUUUCGGCAAAAUGGAACCAAGUAUAAUAAACACAGUUCGAUGCAUAUACAUAUAUACAUAUCUAUAUAUAUGUACCAUAUAGUUGUAAAUUUCCUCAUUUAACGCAUAUAUACAUUUAUAUAAUACUCAAGAAAUAUCAAAUUUAAAUUGUGUCAAGAUUUAUAAUAAAUGCAGUGAUAGACAACAGAAUUAGUGCUUACUGGAACAAGCAAGUAUUGCAGUCACAUACUUACAUGGUAGUAAUUAAGUCGGAACAGCCCGGACUGAAUUAAUAAAUCAUGCAGCUGAAAUAGAACUAAUUAAAAAUAAAUUGAAUAAGCAAUGUA